AGAGCGAACGCUGGCGGCAGGCCUAACACAUACAAGUCGAACGAACCUUUCGGGGUUAGUGGCGGACGGGUGAGUAACACGUGGGAACGUGCCUUUAGGUUCGGAAUAACUCAGGGAAACUUGUGCUAAUACCGAAUGUGCCCUUCGGGGGAAAGAUUAAUCGCCUUUAGAGCGGCCCGCGUCUGAUUAGCUAGUUGGUUGAGGUAAUGGCUCACCAAGGCGACGAUCAGUAGCUGGUCUGAGAGGAUGAUCAGCCACAUUGGGACUGAGACACGGCCCAAACUCCUACGGGAGGCAGCAGUGGGGAAUCUUGCGCAAUGGGCGAAAGCCUGACGCAGCCAUGCCGCGUGAAUGAUGAAGGUCUUAGGAUUGUAAAAUUCUUUCACCGGGGACGAUAAUGACGGUACCCGGAGAAGAAGCCCCGGCUAACUUCGU
rnacentral:rRNA from 1 species